GAGUAACGCGUAGGGAUUUAUCCAUAGGUGGGGGACAACACCGGGAAACUGGUGCUAAUACCGCAUGAUACCUGAGGGUCAAAGGCGCAAGUCGCCUAUGGAGGAACCUGCGUUCGAUUAGCUAGUUGGUGGGGUAAAGGCCUACCAAGGCGAUGAUCGAUAGCUGGUUUGAGAGGAUGAUCAGCCACACUGGGACUGAGACACGGCCCAGACUCCUACGGGAGGCAGCAGUGGGGAAUAUUGGACAAUGGGGGCAACCCUGAUCCAGCAAUGCCGCGUGUGUGAAGAAGGUCUUCGGAUUGUAAAGCACUUUCGGCGGGGACGAUGAUGACGGUACCCGCAGAAGAAGCCCCGGCUAACUUCGUGCCAGCAGCCGCGGUAAUACGAAGGGGGCUAGCGUUGCUCGGAAUGACUGGGCGUAAAGGGCGUGUAGGCGGUUUGGACAGUCAGAUGUGAAAUCCCCGGGCUUAACCUGGGAACUGCAUUUGAUACGUUCAGACUAGAGUUCGAGAGAGGGUUGUGGAAUUCCCAGUGUAGAGGUGAAAUUCGUAGAUAUUGGGAAGAACACCGGUGGCGAAGGCGGCAACCUGNCUCGAUACUGACGCUGAGGCGCGAAAGCGUG
rnacentral:rRNA from 1 species